GAGGGUAUAGCUCAGUGGUAGAGUGUGUACUUAGCAUGCAUGAGGUCCUGGAUUCAAUCCUCAGUACCUCCA
rnacentral:tRNA from 1 species